rnacentral:rRNA from 1 species
AUCGAACGCUGGCGGCAGGCCUAACACAUGCAAGUCGAACGAGUGGCGCACGGGUGAGUAAUGUCGGGGAAACUGCCUGAUGGAGGGGGAUAACUUUUGGAACCGGUAGUUAAUACCGCAUACCAUCAGAUGUGCCCAGAUGGGAUUAGCUUGUUGGUGGGGUAACGGCUCACCAAGGCGACGAUCCCUAGCUGGCCUGAGAGGAUGACCAGCCACACUGGAACUGAGACACGGCCCAGACUCCUACGGGAGGCAGCAGUGGGGAAUAUUGGGCAAUGGACGCAAGCCUGAUGCAGCCAUGCCGCGUGUAUGAAGAAGGCUUUCGGGUUGUAAAGUUCUUUCAUCGGGGAAGCGUUACCCGAAGAAGAAGCACCGGCUAACUCCGUGCCAGCCACCGCGGUAAUAC